rnacentral:lncRNA from 1 species
AAUUCUCAUAACUUCUGCCCACUGCAGAGCUCUCCUAAGUUCUCCUCUUCUUCAGAACAACCAAAGAAGACAAUACAAGUAAGAAGAAAUUUGUAGACAGAAAUUUGAGGAGGAUUUUCUAUCGCAAGAAUAUCCACUUUCACUUAUAUAUAACUCCUAUACACGGUCUCCCAAUCUCUUUUAGCCAAUCACAGGUAAUCAUUAUGUCUCCAACUAUGGAACCAUCCAGUUCCAUCCUAACCAAACUAGAAUUGAAACUUAACUAUUUACCUAACAAUCACAAAAUUUUCCCAAAAUUCCUAAUAGAGUCCGUCAACUUACUAUGCAUUCAAUUAAGUCCCAAAAUUCCUUUAAAUUAGAGUCUUUAAGGAAAUCCGAGUGUGACAUUUCAGCUGCUAGCGCACAUGGUUCCCGAAAUUCACAUGUCUUGGAGACAUGCCUGUGUGGCUCACAUGGUCGUGUAAAACUUUGUUGCCUAUGUACAGCUUCCAAAUUGCUCCAAUGUUCUGAUUUUCACUCGUUUUUCACUCCUAUUGCUCCCAAGUGCUCUAUUAAGCUUCAAAACAUGAAUUUAAAGGAUUGAGAGUAUAGAUUUCACAAUUAAUGUCACAUAAUCACCAAAAAAUGCAGUAAGAAUGAGGCUAAAAAAUGAUACUUUUGACAUUUAUCACUCCCAUUUUUCGAGCGGUGACCUGACCCAUGGACAAUUCUAAUUAUAAUAAGAGAUAUAACAUUACAUGAUAUUAUAAUGUUUAAUCAUUGAUACACAUAUAUAAAUUAUUAAUAUAGUAGGAGAGCUAACUUUCAAAUGUAUGAAAAGUAUGAGAACUAAGAGCAUAUUUCAAAUAGUUUAAUAAUAAACAAUAAUAUAUAGUAAUAUGUAAUAUACAUUGUACUACUUUUAUAUAUAACUAUUAUUAUAUUAUAGAUUAUAAUAAAAAGGUAUAAUAUUACAUGAUAUUAUAAUGUUUAAUCAUUGAUGCAUAUAUAUAAACUAUCAAUAUAUUAUAUACUAUAUGAUAUUAUAUAACAUUAUUAAUAUAGUAGGAGGGCUAACUUUCAUAUGUCUAAAAAGUAGGACUUAAAACAUAUUUCAACCAAUAUAAUAAAACAUAAUAAUUAAUAUAUAGCGUACUACUAUUAUAUAUAACUAAUAUUAUAUCAUAUAUUAUAAUAAAAGACAUAGUAUUACAUGAUAUUAUAAUGUCUAAUCAUUGAGGCAUAUAUAUAAAAUAUUAAUAUAUUAUAUAUUAUAUGAUAUGAUAUAACAUCAUAUAAUAUAAUAGGAAGGCUAACUUUUAAAUGUAAGAAAAGUAUAGCGACUUGGACGGCAUUUUAACAACAACAACAACAAUAAAUAUAUUAUGUCCUACUUUACUAUUAUAGUAUGUGGUAUAUUAUUAUAUAAUGAAAUAAUAUAUUUUAUAAGUAUUAGUAUUUGUAUAACAUUAUUAUUUUAUAGAUUAUAAUAAAAGGUAUAACAUCAAUAGUUGUGUAUAAUUUAGUAUAUUAAAAUACAUGUUUAUAAUUAUAACUUGCAAUGUAUAAAGUAUUAUAAAAAUUUAAUAUUUUAAUAAAAUAUUAUUUUUAUUAAAUUAAAUGUUGAAUUGAACUUUAACUUUUAUAAAUUGCAUUUGGGUAUUAGGUUUAUUUUACUUUUUAUUUUGGACUUGAGAUUUCAACUAUAAUUAGUUUAUUUUGAGUUUGGGUAAUAAUGAGUGUAUUAUUUAGGUUUGAGCUUAGUAUAAUAUACAUGAUUUUUUGAAUAAAUAUUUUAGAAUAUAAGCAUCAGGUUUAUAAAUUUAAUAAGAAAGAUUAAAAUUUAUUUAAUUGUAAAUAUAAUAUAAGAAUGAACAAUAAAAGAUAUUUUCGUUAAUUCAUAUAAUAUUAUCGAAUAAUAAAUUUUACAUACAAUAAGCACUUUAAUUAUUUUAUAUAAAAUAACUUUGUUAAAUAUAUAUAUAAUUUAUAUUUUUUAUAAGAUAAAUUUGAAUUGCGUUGUUAUUGUAUAAAAAUAAAAUGAAUUAUUAGUGUAAAACCUCAAUCCCUAACUGGCAAAUUUAGGCAUUACACUGAAAGCAAGCUUAAACUUGAUUCGUUAUUUUUUAGUGGUUUUGACGUAUACUCUCUGAACUGGGGUGUUAACCUAAAAUUUUGAAUGACAAAACAAUCAAAUCAGUGAUGUACCAUGUAAUAUAAAACAUAAUUUAAAACGAACUUUCGACGGAAGCCUUAUAAAUGUUGACAAUUUUACUCAAAACACAAAAGUAGCUUUUUCAUAUAUAAAAGUUUCUAUUUCAUCACUAGCACUCAAACAUCAUCCAAAACAGUUUGGCAUAUACGUGUAAAGAUGGUCUCAUAAAAUUUUACUCAUUUAUAGGUGACAAUUCUCAUAAAACAUAGAUAGAGCGAAAGAUGUAAAUUAUUACAAAAGUUGGUUAUGAAACAGAACUACAUGCCACCUGCCCAAAAUGAAAGUUGGUAGUUGUCGUUACGUCCACCGAAUUUAAUCCCCUACUCAACCAAUAUUAACUGGUAAUAUAGAGUAAGUACAGAAUCGUCCCUCGAAGAAGCUCGUGUUAAACCUAUUUGAAAAGAAUUGAAAUCAAGUUAAUAUAAACAUAUGCGAGAAAGGAAAAAUGGGGGGGGGUCUCUAAUAAUGCUCUUUGGUAACAAAUAAAAUGUAGCAUAAAUUGUAAAUGCAGAAAGGUUGUCGAAUUAAGAGAAAGAGUGCUCAGUUAGUAACUCCUUAAUCCACCUAGCACAAGUCCUUAGCGUGAUUUAAUUAUUUUAAUUGUCUAAUCUAGCAACAAGGCUAAAGAAAAUCACUUACGAAAUGAAUUCUUAUCCCAAAUAAAUUCGAAUUCAAAUAGAGAACAUUCAUACUUGAAUACCUACCUUUAAUUUUUAAUUAAAAGUGCACUAAGUAUUUUAGAGAUUUCACCUUGUGUUAAUUAAAGAAAAUCCUCCAGCGGCUUCCAAAAUUAAAUCCGAAAUUGCGUUAAUUAGUGGCAUGCUAAUUUAUUAUCACUGAUUCUAAGUUUAAUUAAGAAAUUCGAUAACUCAAUUAUACUUAGAUGAUUAUGAGAAAAGUCCUAAAUUAGAUAGGCGAUCAAUCUAAUUAAUUUAGAAAAUUUCUUUGAACGAUAGAAUUAGCAACUCAAGAAUGCUAAAUCCGAAUUUAAACAAAAUAAACCUUCAAAUUCCUUGUGCUAAGUUUCAUAAGUGUCUAACUGAGCUUAAUCAAUUUAGCCACUCAUAGAAAUCGAACGAAACAGAAAUCAAUUGUAAACAACAUAAAUUACAGACUGAAUCUUGGAGAAGAAAAUGCCUAAAAUUGUCGAGCUUCCCUUCUCUCGAUUAGCUGAAAUCUUAGACUGCUGUUACGCUGCUUGAUCGGUUUUGGCUAGUUCAAUUUGAGCUUCUUCUUCGCUUGAAUGCUACGCUCCUAUUCUGCCGUCUCUUCCUCUAUUUUUUUCUUCUUCGUUUUCAACUGCUGGUUACUUCUAUUUAAGGAGUAAUGAUAUUAACCUUCAAUAAUUCAAAUAAAAUUUGAUCUUAUCC